rnacentral:rRNA from 1 species
CGUGAGUAACCUGCCCUUAACUCUGGGAUAAGCCUGGGAAACUGGGUCUAAUACCGGAUAUGACUCCUCAUCGCAUGGUGGGGGGUGGAAAGCUUUAUUGUGGUUUUGGAUGGACUCGCGGCCUAUCAGCUUGUUGGUGAGGUAAUGGCUCACCAAGGCGACGACGGGUAGCCGGCCUGAGAGGGUGACCGGCCACACUGGGACUGAGACACGGCCCAGACUCCUACGGGAGGCAGCAGUGGGGAAUAUUGCACAAUGGGCGAAAGCCUGAUGCAGCGACGCCGCGUGAGGGAUGACGGCCUUCGGGUUGUAAACCUCUUUCAGUAGGGAAGAAGCGAAAGUGACGGUACCUGCAGAAGAAGCGCCGGCUAACUACGUGCCAGCAGCCGCGGUAAUACGUAGGGCGCAAGCGUUAUCCGGAAUUAUUGGGCGUAAAGAGCUCGUAGGCGGUUUGUCGCGUCUGCCGUGAAAGUCCGGGGCUCAACUCCGGAUCUGCGGUGGGUACGGGCAGACUAGAGUGAUGUAGGGGAGACUGGAAUUCCUGGUGUAGCGGUGAAAUGCGCAGAUAUCAGGAGGAACACCGAUGGCGAAGGCAGGUCUCUGGGCAUUAACUGACGCUGAGGAGCGAAAGCAUGGGGAGCGAACAGGAUUAGAUACCCUGGUAGUCCAUGCCGUAAACGUUGGGCACUAGGUGUGGGGGACAUUCCACGUUUUCCGCGCCGUAGCUAACGCAUUAAGUGCCCCGCCUGGGGAGUACGGCCGCAAGGCUAAAACUCAAAGGAAUUGACGGGGGCCCGCACAAGCGGCGGAGCAUGCGGAUUAAUUCGAUGCAACGCGAAGAACCUUACCAAGGCUUGACAUGAACCGGAAAGACCUGGAAACAGGUCCCCCGCUUGCGGUCGGUUUACAGGUGGUGCAUGGUUGUCGUCAGCUCGUGUCGUGAGAUGUUGGGUUAAGUCCCGCAACGAGCGCAACCCUCGUUCUAUGUUGCCAGCGCGUCAUGGCGGGGACUCAUAGGAGACUGCCGGGGUCAACUCGGAGGAAGGUGGGGACGACGUCAAAUCAUCAUGCCCCUUAUGUCUUGGGCUUCACGCAUGCUACAAUGGCCGGUACAAAGGGUUGCGAUACUGUGAGGUGGAGCUAAUCCCAAAAAGCCGGUCUCAGUUCGGAUUGGGGUCUGCAACUCGACCCCAUGAAGUCGGAGUCGCUAGUAAUCGCAGAUCAGCAACGCUGCGGUGAAUACGUUCCCGGGCCUUGUACACACCGCCCGUCAAGUCACGAAAGUUGGUAACACCCGAAGCCGGUG